CCUACGGGACGCAGCAGUGGGGGAUAUUGCACAGUGGGGGAAACCCUGAUGCAGCGACGCCGCGUGAGUGAAGAAGUAUUUCGGUACGUAAAGCUCUAUCAGCAGGGAAGAAUAAUGACGGUACCUGACUAAGAAGCCCCGGCUAACUACGUGCCAGCAGCCGCGGUAAUACGUAGGGAGCAAGCGUUAUCCGGAUUUAUUGGGUGUAAAGGGUGCGUAGACGGGAAUUUAAGUUAGUUGUGAAAUCCCUCGGCUUAACUGAGGAACUGCAACUAAAACUGAAUUUCUUGAGUGCGGGAGAGGAA
rnacentral:rRNA from 1 species